rnacentral:rRNA from 1 species
UGCCAGCCGCCGCGGUAACACGGGGGGCGCAAGCGUUAUUCGGAAUUAUUGGGCGUAAAGCGCGUGUAGGCGGUUCGUUAAGUCUGAUGUGAAAUCCCGGGGCUCAACCCCGGAACUGCCUUCGAUACUGGCAGCCUAGAGAUCUGGAGAGGCGAGUGGAAUUCCGAGUGUAGAGGUGAAAUUCGUAGAUAUCAGGAGGAACACCGAUGGCGAAGGCAUCUCUCUGGGCCGAUAUUGACGCUGAGGCGCGAAGGCGUGGGUAGCGAACGGGAUUAGAUA